AUGAAGCUGGAAUUGCUAGUAAUGGCAGGCCAGCAUACUGCCGUGAAUACGUUCCCGGGCCUUGUACACACCGCCCGUCACACCAUGAGAGUUGGGAAUACCCGAAGCCUGUGAGCUAACUUUUAGAGGCAGCAGUCGAAGGUAGAAUCAAUGAUUGGGGUGAAGUCGUAACAAGGUACC
rnacentral:rRNA from 1 species